UGAACAAAAUAAAAAUGUAAUAUUAUUUUGGACUCCUGCUCAUGUAGGCAUUUUCUGCAAUGAAAGAGCAGAUAGGUUGGCUAAGGAAGUUAUUAAAAAAGAAGAUGUUGAUAUGCCAGUAAAGUUAUCUAAAUCUGAAGGCAAAAGUAUAGUUUGGAGAGAAAGCAAGAAAAUAUGGAAAAUUAGGUGGGAUAAUAAAUGGAAGGCAUUUAUAUAGGAUACAAAAUGUAGUUGAUGGUUUAAGGAUUAGAGGAAAAAUCAGGAGGGAGGAGAUAAUUGUAAAUAGAAUAAGAACCGGUCAGAGUUUUUUUAAAUGGGACUCUUUUUAAGAUGGGGAAACAUCUUACUGGUUUAUGUAGUUAGUGAUACUGUAGAAACAAUGGAACAUGUUUUUAUUAGUUGUAGAAAAUAUGUAAAUCAAAGAAGAUUAUUAAAAACGGAGUUAGGUUUUAAUAGGGAAUUGAAAUUUGAGAAUGUGGUCGAUCAGUUAAAUAGUAUUGAGAGGGAAAAGAAGAUUUUUUCGUUUUUUUAAAAAAAUACUGGGAUCAUUAUGAGAAUUUGAGGUAUAGAUGUUAGGGUCCAAUAGAUGGCAGCAGUGCAACAAUAAUGGAUGCAAGCUGCUGUUAAAAUCUGAAGAAGAAGAACUCGGAUCUCCUGUGGCUAGCUGCUUGUGCUUGGCGUUUUCCAAAAUCGUUGAAGAAUACUGCUGGACCGAGCCAAAUGAACACAGCCGAAUGAUUAUAUUGUGUGUUUUCUGACAACCUCUCGACGGUCAGGUUUUUUCCCCCCCACCACCUGUUUCAACCCAGGAUGGCGAGCUACUGGAUCACCGCAGCUUUGCAGUAGUACUUUAUUGAACCAAACUACUUUUCUUGUCCGGACCUAUUGCCUUGGGUCAUGGACUUUAAAACAUUCUGAUUAUUGAUUGAUGGACCAUUAAUCACCCUGCAUCAAAAAGAACGGACUUGAAUAAGAGAGAAAAAAACUCUUGGGUGUCAUCAGGGUUUAUUUUGUUGUUGUUGUUGAUUUCUUGUUGUGCUUGUUGUUUAUACUUAUAGGAAAAUAUUAUUAUUGCAAAAUAUAUGAAUUUGAAUACAAUAACUUAAACUUA